GAAAAAGUGCGCUAUGCGCUGGCGUUAGAUGUGCAACAUCUUGGCGGCGAUGCGGUCGGGCAGUGGGGGAGGCUGGGGAAGGCCGGUUGGUGGAGACGGCAGGUGGUGUACUUGCCGGCCAAUAGGGCGAGGCAGUUAACAGGAGCACAACAAAAAUACCCCUGGGGCGUUGUAGCAUAAGCGGAGUCUGGGCUACCGGUCUGGAGCUGUUCUCCCCCCACGACGGUGAUUCUAUCUAUCGCAAAGCCUACCCCACACGCAUAUCUCCAUUACUACCGUGCCCUGCAGAACUAGGCCAUGACGGUCGUCCGACCCGCAAGAGAUCUCGGCUAUGUGCAGAAGCCGAGAAAUUUACAACAACGGCGGCCGCCCUUGAAUCUAUCCAAACCUGUGGACUUGUACAGGUGGCACGAUUAAUCUCGUCAGCUCGACUAGGAACCGAACUUCGCUUCUGCCACGUCUUCUGUGUCAUUUAACCUCAAUUCCAUUUUUAAAUAUUCAAUCUCUUAUAACUCUGAUAUUAACAAUAAUUGAACAAGUGUUAAAGUUUCAAAGAGCAAUAAACAACAUUCAGAUUCGCCAUACAACCUUGUGAAAUUUUAAACAACAAAUAAUUCUUAUGUGAGAUUCAAAUUGGACAUCAAAUGAUAUGAUAGAAACAUUCAUCAACAAAGUAUUUACAAAACAAAACUUAGCAAGGAUUUAUGAAACAGAAGAUCUGGUGUGAAAUAAACUUGUACAAAUAGAAAUAUUAUGUGAGGUUAAAACUGUAGGACAUGAAAUUUACGUUCAAUUAAAAUUAUACAACAAACAAAAUUACUGAGGUUAAAAUUGUGAGAUUAAGAAAUAUUGUAUGAGGUGAAAAUUUGCAGAGUUAACAAAAUUUACAUGAGAUUAAUACUUGCCACACUUUAUCAACGGUUCAAACAAAGAGUUUACAAUAUGUCAAAUUAUAUCAUGAUCUAAGUGAUUGGUUACUUCAAAAAAAC